GCGGUGGAGAAUGCCCAGGAGGGUAUUAGAGAAGACAGAAUCGUAGAUGAAGGAAUAUAUGUUCCAUUAAUAUUUUCAUUUUUCUUCUUUUGAUUCAUUUCUCAACACAAACAAAAACUUCAACAAAUCAUGGGUGCCAAGAAGAUCUACAAUGGCGACGUCGAUGUGGUUGAAGCUGUAGAAGAUGGAGAUAGCAACGCCGAGUCGUAUCAGCUAUCGUAUCUUUCCGUCGACCACUCUCUUCCUCUUCCCGCCAUAACUCCUCGCAUAAUCUCGCGCGAGUUGUGUAAGGAUCUGUUCAAGGAGUGGUCGGAGCUGGAUGCUUCUCGGUUCUCUGUUGAAACGGUCUCUGGUGGAAUCACUAAUCAGCUGCUAAAGGUUACGGUGAAAGAGGAAAGUGGUACUUCCGUUUCUGUCACCGUCAGACUAUAUGGACCUAACACGGAUUAUGUUAUCAAUCGUGACAGGGAACUACAGGCAAUCAAAUAUCUUUCAGCUGCAGGAUUUGGUGCCAAGCUUCUUGGAGUUUUUAAAAAUGGAAUGGUGCAGUCAUUUAUUCAUGCACGUACACUAGAACCAUCAGAUUUGAGAAAGCCAGAGCUAGCUGCCGAAAUUGCUAAACAGCUUAAUAAAUUCCACAAAGUAUAUAUUCCAGGUUCUAAUGAACCUCAGUUAUGGAACGAAAUCUUAAACUUUUACGAUAAAGCCUCCACACUGCAAUUUGAUGAUACCGGAAAGCAAAGUAUAUACGAUACAAUUUCAUUUCAGGAAAUUCACAAUGAAAUACUUGAGAUUAAGGAACUAACAAGCCUUCUCAAUGCACCCAUAGUGUUUGCUCACAACGACCUGCUUUCUGGGAACCUAAUGCUAAAUGAGGAAGAAGGACGACUCUAUUUCAUUGAUUUCGAGUACGGAUCAUACAGUUACAGAGGCUUUGACAUUGGUAAUCACUUCAAUGAAUAUGCUGGCUAUGACUGCGACUACAGCUGUUUAUCAAUUGCCGAGCAGUUAUCCAUCCAAGGAAGAACAGUAUCAUUUCUUCAGGCAUUAUUUACAGCCUGAAAAACCAGAUGAGGUUUCUCAAAAAGAUCUAGAAGCUCUCUAUGUGGAGUCAAACACGUUCAUGCUGGCUUCUCACUUGUAUUGGGCUUUAUGGGCACUUAUACAGGCAAGGAUGUCUCCGAUUGAUUUUGAUUACCUUAGUUAUUUCUUUCUACGUUACGGAGAAUAUAAAAAGCAGAAAGAAAAGUAUUGCUCUUUAGCGAGAUCUUUCCUUGCUCGAUCAGGAUUGGGUUGUGGUUCUGCAUAGAAGAUGCAAGAAAUUGGGGGUGUGAUUGGAUCGGCAAGUUUGUAUUUUUCAACCUUUUUACUGAUCUUGUUUGAUACCUAUUGUAAAUUUGUAUUUUGUACUCUAGAAUCUAUAGCAGAACUGUGUUUUCAUGGACAGCUCUGAGAAGAAUUUAGAAGGCUUCCAAAUAGAAUUGAUUUGAAAGGACUUUUCUCCUUGUUAUUGGAAUAAAAGGAUGAUAUAGAAUGAAAUGAUUUGUGUGAUUCUAA